AUGGUGAUGUAGAGGAAGAGGAAGGUGGCCAUGAACUCUGCGAUUCCAGCCCGGUAGAAGGACCAUGACUUGAGUUCUCCUGGCUCAAAGAGAGGGGCUGGUGGUGGCUCCUUGUAGUCCUUGUCCUGAGCUGCUGUCCCGAUGGGCUGCCUCUCCGAGAACUUGUUGGCUCCAAGCUUCACAUCCUCCUCCUUCCCCUCCAUCCUCUCGGACUCCUUUUCCCUCUACAAGCUUCUGGAGCAACGAAAGACAGUCUGUGAAGGGAAUUAAGGACUGUUCUGGUUUCUUUAUAGAGGUGCUGAAGGUUUUGCAGGGACCAAGACAGGGAGGCCUGUAGGACACUCUUGUCCCUUUCUCCUUUCCCAACGGGUCAUCUUCUUUCCUCUUUAAUGGAUUCUGGUCACUUGGUACAGCCAUAGCUCUGUAUAUUUUACCGCUCUAUCUGCACUCCAUCUACCCUAAGGAGAAGCUAUCGUCCGUUAACUUUGAUUGUUUUGCUGUCCGAGCUCUAUGACCAGAAGUUUUCCCCCAGAAGAAAUGACAACUAAAAGGAUAAAGAGACUACCGGCUCGAUGUUCCUUGUUGCGCCACCUCACUGGACCACAGGACAGAUUGCUGCUAAUUUAUUUGUAUCUCCGCGCACAUUUAUCAUCAUCGGCGGCAGCAGCAGUGGAAAGACAAACAACAUGAUUGGGAGAAGCGACAGCACGAGUCUGGCAUCAUGUGGGAGACAACUCACGCCAUGGUCCUUCGCCUCCGCUGGCCACAUGAUGUGCCCGGGCCCCGCGCCAGCCACCAUGACGACAAGUCUCUCUGAAAAG